GAAGCUGAUCCUUCACCACAACCACGGCAACGGGAGAGGCUUAUCUCUCACCACGACAGACUUGAGGGGUUCUCUGCCAACUGAUCUCUCACCGCAACGUGUAGACGGAUCUCUACGUGGAGACUGAUCUCUCACCACGACACGAGCUUCCUGCCUUCCGAUCCUCCUCUACGGACCGUUUGCUGACGGACUUCCCUGGGCCUGCUACCUGAGACCUGCUGCUUCCUCCCCGACCUGCACCCUCUCGUUGCCCAAGACCGGCCCCGCUGCUCCUGCCCUUCGGCCUCGGACCGUCGGAACGUCGUGCAACGGGACUGCUGCCGGAUCCUGGUGCUAUCCUGGAAAGCUGACAGUUAUAUGGACCAAGAGAACAUUAUUUUCCCCAGAUGUAGUAGAGUUCACUUCAUAUUGUGUGAGAUUUUUCCUAGCCUUAUUAUUCACAGGAACAUGCCUUGGUACCAUUUGAAACAGAGUUGAUUUUCUUCAUUGUGUCUGGUAUGAUGCUACAUUUUGGCUUUAGGAGAAAAACAGUGUUGAUAACACACAGAUAUUUUAGUUGUUGCUGAGUGGUGCUGUACAGAGCCAAGGGCAUUUCAGUUUCUCAGCUUCUCAUACUGUCAGAACCGGGACAACUGACCUAAAAUGGCUGAAGGGAUAUUCCAUAUCAUAGAAUCAUAGAACCAUAGAAUGGCCUAGGUUGAAAAGGACUAUAAUGAUCAUCUAGUUUCAGCCCACCUUCUAUGUGCAGGGUUGCCAACCACUAGAUCAGGCUGCCCAGAGCUACAUCCAGCCUGCCCUUGAAUGCCUCAUAUGACAUAACUAAAAAAAAACCUGUAAAACUGAGGGCAGUUGGCUGGGAAGGGGCUGCCACUAUUCAGGGACUGUCUGGCUAUCAGUUGACAAGUGGUGAGCAAUUGCUUCUGUAUCAGUUGUUUUGUAAAUAUAUGGUAUAGAUUAUUAAGAUGAUUAUCAUUACUGUUAUUUCUCCCUUCUCUCUUAGUAAAGAGUAUUUAUCUUAACCUGUGUGGGUUUUUUUUUGUUUGUUUGUUUUCCAAGUUCAAUUCCCCGUACCACUCGAAGGGGCAAGGAUUAAGCAAAGGGCUAUGUAGUGUUUAUAGCUGCUUGCCAGAUUAAACUGCAACAGAAAAGAGUGUGGAUUAGUAGCAAUAAGCUCUGCCUGGAUGAAAAUGUCCCAAAUUUUCUACACGUUUACUUGAAAAAUAAUAGAUUGCCUAUUUUAUUAUUCUUAUAAUAACUGUUAUGUCUUGUCCUUCUUCAUUUAUCUAUACAUUUGUUUAUUUAUUUUUAAGGCAUAUACACUGGGCAUAUACAUAUAUACAUAUAGUAUAAGGCAUAUACAUAUAUACUAAGGAAUCUUUGUCUUGUGGAUUCUCUUGGAGAAUCUGAAGUGUAGUCAUGAUAAAGAUGUACAGUGUAAAGUGUAUAUGCUACGUGGGUCUAAAACUAGUGGCAAUUAAAUCUGAAGAAAAUAGACUCCUUGUAUCUCAGCUAUAAGUAUAAAAUUAUUCUCCCACAGAAGCAAAUCAUACCUUUCUUUUCUUAUUUAAUUUUCUUUUAAAAAUGCCACUGACUUUAGGAAUAAUGGACAAGAGGCUGUCAAUUGUAGUAGUACCAAACAUCAUAAUACAAUGGAUCUUAUGAAUAUUCUUAUAUUAUUAUUCACACAUACUUCUACAUUAUAUACAUAUGUAUGCGUGUAUGCACAUAUAGAUGUAUAUAUAAGAGGUUUCAGUGUUGGUAUUCACCAAAGUUUAACACAUCUGAUUUUCUGGUUGUAUGGCUAUCUCAUUAUACCUAAGUAUUUUUAAUAGGAACAUGGACGUUAUUUUCUUAAGGAGGAAUCUAGGAAAAAUACCAAUUUCAUCCUUAUUUUCAUACAACUCAAAACUAUAGCUUUUCUCUUGACAAAGGUAGUUUAUUCUGUAUGUAAUAAUAAUUCAUUAACUUUGUUGCCACACUGAAUACUUAGGAGCAAUUUCAUUGGGUAACAUUUUUCACUAAAUUUACACUUGCUUUAGGAAUUCUUCUUCAAACAACAGAUCAGAUAUCUAUCAUUAUCUACUUCUGUUUGGAUAGUCACCACUGAAUUAACUAUUUUUAAAAUAAUCAGUCAAGGUAAUGCCUAUAUGAAGUGCAAAUCUGCCAUCAAGACUUUACAGUUUUAUCUGUUUGAAAAUUAUAUACCAAUCUGAUUCAAAAUGCUAUGACAAUUUUAUUUUCAGCUGACAUAUUCUGAUGUAUAAUUAUGAUAUUUCAGCAUCUAUUUGAAGUUUGUUCUUCUCUUGCAUCAAAGAAAAUAGGGAAGGAUGUUAGAAAACAGCAACAAAACAGUUAUUUGGUAACAUUUAUGAAGUAUCUAUUUCCCUAAAACUGUAGUACUUACAAGACUUUAAUUAUGUUAAUUUAAUGAGUGGAAGAUAUGUCCUUGGUGUUACCAUUUGUAUAAAAUUCUGUGCUACUUUCAUUCUGGUAUCAUAAUAAUGACAAUUUAUUAAACAAUAUUGGUAAUAU
ensembl:lncRNA